rnacentral:rRNA from 1 species
GGGGGAAUAUUGCACAAUGGGGGGAAACCCUGAUGCAGCGACGCCGCGUGAGCGAAGAAGUAUUUCGGUAUGUAAAGCUCUAUCAGCAGGGAAGAUAAUGACAGUACCUGACUAAGAAGCCCCGGCUAACUACGUGCCAGCAGCCGCGGUAAUACGUAGGGGGCAAGCGUUAUCCGGAUUUACUGGGUGUAAAGGGAGCGUAGACGGAACGGCAAGUUUGAAGUGAAAUACCUGGGCUUAACCCGGGACUGCUUUGAAAACUGUCGAUCUAGAGUGUCGGAGAGGUAAGUGGAAUUCCUGGUGUAGUAGUGAAAUGCGU